UGCCCCUGCGGGAGGCAGCAGUGGGGAAUAUUGCACAAUGGGGGGAACCCUGAUGCAGCGACGCCGCGUGGGUGAAGGGGUACUUCGGUACGUAAAGCCCUAUCAGCAGGAAAGAAAAUGACGGUACCUGACUAAGAAGCCCCGGCUAACUACGUGCCAGCAGCCGCGGUAAUACGUAGGGGGUAAGCGUUAUCCGGAUUUACUGGGUGUAAAGGGAGCGUAGACGGCAGUGCAAGUCCGGAGUGAAAGCCCGGGGCUCAACCCUGGGACUGCUCUGGAAACUGUAAAGCUGGAUGGCGGGAGGG
rnacentral:rRNA from 1 species